rnacentral:rRNA from 1 species
AUUGAACGCUGGCGGCAGGCCUAACACAUGCAAGACGAACGAGUGGCGGACGGGUGAGUAAUGUCUGGGAAACUGCCCGAUGGAGGGGGAUAACUACUGGAAACGGUAGAUAAUAACGCAUACCAUCGGAUUUGCCCAGAUGUGAUUAGCUUGUAGGUGAGGUAACGGAUCACCUAGGCGACGAUCCCUAGCUGGUCUGAGCGGAUGACCAGCCACACUGGAACGGAGACACGGUCCAGACUCCUACGUGAGGAAGCAGUGGUGAAUAUUGCACAAUUGGCGCAAGCCUGAUGCAGCCAUGCCGCGUGUAUGAAGAAGGCCUUCGGGUUGUAAAGUACUUUCAGCGGGGAGGCGUUACCCGCAGAAGAAGCACCGGCUAACUCAGUGCCAGCAGCCGCGGUAAUAC